UAGCUCCCUCUGUUUUUUUCAAAUGAAGAAUAACGUGACUGGGAACUAGAGACUCCGGAAACCCUGGGAAUCCUCAGGAGUGAGCUGGGUUAGUCUUUUCCUUGCGGGACCAGGGUCCAUGGGGACAGGGAAUAAGCACAAUACAUCCGAGAAGAUGCCGGUGCACCUCAGCAAGACCCUUCCGCGAUCCGGGGCUUUGGGCUGUGAUCACACAAGAUUCCCACCAGGACCCCCUCUGAAAAGAGACCCUUUCGUGUGUCUUCUGAAUCCUCAAGGGCUCAAAUACAGAGUCCAUAUUUGCAAAGUGAAGGUCAUAACACUACCAACCACAGGCAGUUGUAGCGACAGCCAGGAGAGACAAUGCAAGAGAAGCCCAUGGCAGAGUACUUGCACGAUGCAUUUCUACUUGAGAGUCUUGCCAUCAGAAGACCCAUGUCUUUAUACAAUGUGCUGAGCCUUGUCAUUCUCUAGACAAUUGGUGUUGAUGUCACCUGAAAAUACCAAUGUGUUAACAUACUUUCUUCCUCUCGUAAUAAACCUUGGACACAGUGCAUCAAAAAGGCCUUCAAAAUGCUACAUUUCCCCCGUCACCAAGCUUUUCAAAGAUGGACCAACCAGCCUCCAUUCUGAGCAAUUUCCGGAAGAACAUAUCGUCUGAGACUCCUCAAAUUAACCAAUUUCUGCAAACAAUGCGUUCUCACUGGUAGAUAUUGUCAUUUAUACUUCCUUGUUUUCAGAUCACAAAAAUUAAAAAUGACAACCUCCAGAGGAAAAUUUGCCAAAUUCCAUGAAACCUGUUCUAUCAUUUGGUCAAAUUAAGUAGAAAAUUGUAUCCUCCAACCGGGACUGUAACAGCCAGUUUCAUGGAUUAAACCAUUCUCGGAAAAAGAGCUUUCCCCACCCCAGAGAAUGAAUAAACUCAAUCGGGUGUGAGGUUUUUAAAGCUCCCCUUGAAAUUUUAAAGAGGGUUAUUUUUUUUUUUUUUUGCUACGUAUAUGCAAUUUUAAUUCUCUAAAAUGAAACUGACAAUUUUAGAAAAUUCAAACUACCAAACCAUGCCUUCUUUCUACCAGUGAAGCUUAGUUCUUUUGGAUCAUGGUCAUAUCUAUAUUUUUCUAUUAUGACGUCAAUGUCAUUUGCUGGUAAAUGUCCCCCUCACUGGCACCUGAAGGCAAGGAAAUGGGGUAAUAAUAAAUGA